rfam:Asian citrus Psyllid, Diaphorina citri - Florida Strain, whole genome shotgun sequence.
GCUCCCAUGGCGUAGUGGUCACUGCGCUCGCCUUGCACGCAGGAGACCCGGGUUCGAUUUCCGGCGGGGUCA